rnacentral:rRNA from 1 species
AACGAACGCUGGCGGCGUGCCUAACACAUGCAAGUCGAACGAGAAAGGGGCUUCGGCUCCGAGUAAAGUGGCGCACGGGUGAGUAACACGUGGGUAACCUGCCUCUAAGAUUGGGAUAACUCGUCGAAAGAUGAGCUAAUACCGAAUAAGACCACAGUUCCUGCGGGAACAGAGGUCAAAGGUAGCCUCUGCAUGCAAGCUAUCACUUAGAGAUGGGCCUGCGCACCAUUAGCUAGUUGGUAGGGUAAAGGCCUACCAAGGCAAAGAUGGUUAGCUGGUCUGAGAGGAUGAUCUGCCACACUGGAACUGAGACACGGUCCAGGCUCCUACGGGAGGCAGCAGUGGGGAAUAUUGCGCAAUGGGCGAAAGCUUGACGCAGCAACGCCGCGUGAGUGAUGAAGGCCUUCGGGUCGUAAAGCUCUGUCGGGAGGAACGAAUGCUCCUGAGGUUAACAGCCUCGGGAGGUGACGGUACCUUCAAAGGAAGCACCGGCUAACUCUGUGCCAGCCGCCGCCGUAAAAC